rnacentral:rRNA from 1 species
UACGGAGGGUGCAAACGUUGCUCGGAAUUAUUGGGCGUAAAGCGCACGUAGGCGGUUCGUUAUGUCGGAUGUGAAAGCCCUCGGCUUAACCGAGGAAGUGCAUCCGAAACUGGCGAGCUUGAGUACGGAAGAGGGUCUCGGAAUUCCCGGUGUAGAGGUGAAAUUCGUAGAUAUCGGGAGGAACAUCAGUGGCGAAGGCGGAGGCCUGGGCCGAUACUGACGCUGAGGUGCGAAAGCGUGGGGAGCAAACAGG